rnacentral:rRNA from 3 species
CAAGCCGGCCAUAGUAAUAGGGUGCGACCCGGUCCCAUUCCGAACCCGGAAGUCAAACCUGUUAUCGCUGCUGUGUUACUGAUCUACGUGAGUGGUUGGGAAGCAGCAGUGCUGGCAUUU